UGUUUGGGACGUUGCUCUGCAG
rnacentral:miRNA from 1 species